rnacentral:rRNA from 1 species
UGGGGAAUAUUGGGCAAUGGGCGCAAGCCUGACCCAGCAACGCCGCGUGAAGGAAGAAGGCUUUCGGGUUGUAAACUUCUUUUGAGAGGGACGAAGAAAAUGACGGUACCUCUUGAAUAAGCCACGGCUAACUACGUGCC